UGGAAAACAGAAACUUAGGCCUAGUCU
rnacentral:piRNA from 1 species